rnacentral:rRNA from 1 species
AGUCGAGCGAACGAUAAGGAGCUUGCUCCUUUGACGUUAGCGGCGGACGGGUGAGUAACACGUGGGUAACCUACCUAUAAGACUGGGAUAACUUCGGGAAACCGGAGCUAAUACCGGAUAACAUUUGGAACCGCAUGGUUCUAAAGUGAAAGAUGGUUUUGCUAUCACUUAUAGAUGGACCCGCGCCGUAUUAGCUAGUUGGUAAGGUAACGGCUUACCAAGGCGACGAUACGUAGCCGACCUGAGAGGGUGAUCGGCCACACUGGAACUGAGACACGGUCCAGACUCCUACGGGAGGCAGCAGUAGGGAAUCUUCCGCAAUGGGCGAAAGCCUGACGGAGCAACGCCGCGUGAGUGAUGAAGGGUUUCGGCUCGUAAAACUCUGUUAUUAGGGAAGAACAAACGUGUAAGUAACUGUGCACGUCUUGACGGUACCUAAUCAGAAAGCCACGGCUAACUACGUGCCAGCAGCCGCGGUAAUACGUAGGUGGCAAGCGUUAUCCGGAAUUAUUGGGCGUAAAGCGCGCGUAGGCGGUUUCUUAAGUCUGAUGUGAAAGCCCACGGCUCAACCGUGGAGGGUCAUUGGAAACUGGGAAACUUGAGUGCAGAAGAGGAAAGUGGAAUUCCAUGUGUAGCGGUGAAAUGCGCAGAGAUAUGGAGGAACACCAGUGGCGAAGGCGACUUUCUGGUCUGUAACUGACGCUGAUGUGCGAAAGCGUGGGGAUCAAACAGGAUUAGAUACCCUGGUAGUCCACGCCGUAAACGAUGAGUGCUAAGUGUUAGGGGGUUUCCGCCCCUUAGUGCUGCAGCUAACGCAUUAAGCACUCCGCCUGGGGAGUACGACCGCAAGGUUGAAACUCAAAGGAAUUGACGGGGACCCGCACAAGCGGUGGAGCAUGUGGUUUAAUUCGAAGCAACGCGAAGAACCUUACCAAAUCUUGACAUCCUUUGAAAACUCUAGAGAUAGAGCCUUCCCCUUCGGGGGACAAAGUGACAGGUGGUGCAUGGUUGUCGUCAGCUCGUGUCGUGAGAUGUUGGGUUAAGUCCCGCAACGAGCGCAACCCUUAAGCUUAGUUGCCAUCAUUAAGUUGGGCACUCUAGGUUGACUGCCGGUGACAAACCGGAGGAAAGGUGGGGAUGACGUCAAU